rnacentral:rRNA from 1 species
AUUGAACGCUGGCGGCAUGCCUUACACAUGCAAGUCGAACGGCAGCGGGGGAGAAGCUUGCUUUUCCUGCCGGCGAGUGGCGAACGGGUGAGUAAUACAUCGGAACGUGCCCUGUAGUGGGGGAUAACGAGUCGAAAGAUUAGCUAAUACCGCAUACGACCUGAGGGUGUAAGUGGGGGACCGCAAGGCCUCAUGCUAUAGGUGCGGCCGAUGUCUGAUUAGCUAGUUGGUGGGGUAAAGGCCGACCAAGGCGACGUUCAGUAGCUGGUCUGAGAGGACGAUCAGCCACACUGGGACUGAGACACGGCCCAGACUCCUACGGGAGGCAGCAGUGGGGAAUUUUGGACAAUGGGCGAAAGCCUGAUCCAGCAAUGCCGCGUGUGUGAAGAAGGCCUUCGGGUUGUAAAGCACUUUUGUCCGGAAAGAAAUGGCUCUGGUUAAUACCUGGGGUCGAUGACGGUACCGGAAGAAUAAGGACCGGCUAACUACGUGCCAGCCGCCGCCGUAA